AUUGAACGCUGGCGGCAGGCUUAACACAUGCAAGUCGAACGAGCGGCGGACGGGUGAGUAAUGUAUGGGGAUCUGCCUGAUGGAGGGGGAUAACUACUGGAAACGGUAGCUAAUACCGCAUACCAUCAGAUGAACCCAUAUGGGAUUAGCUGGUAGGUAAGGUAACGGCUGACCUAGGCGACGAUCCCUAGCUGGUCUGAGAGGAUGAUCAGCCACACUGGGACUGAGAAACGGCCCAGACUCCUACGGGAGGCAGCAGUGGGGAAUAUUGCACAAUGGGCGCAAGCCUGAUGCAGCCAUGCCGCGUGUAUGAAGAAGGCCUUCGGGUUGUAAAGUACUUUCAGUGGGGAGGCGUUACCGACAGAAUAAGCACCGGCUAACUCCGUGCCAGCCGCCGCGGUAAUAC
rnacentral:rRNA from 1 species